UACGGGGGGGGCAAGCGUUGUUCGGAAUUACUGGGCGUAAAGGGCUCGUAGGCGGCCAACUAAGUCAGACGUGAAAUCCCUCGGCUUAACCGGGGAACUGCGUCUGAUACUGGAUGGCUCGAGUUUGGGAGAGGGAUGCGGAAUUCCAGGUGUAGCGGUGAAAUGCGUAGAUAUCUGGAGGAACACCCGUGGCGAAGGCGGCUCUCUGGGACGGUACUGACGCUGAGACGCGAAAGCGUGGGGAGCAAACAGG
rnacentral:rRNA from 1 species